rnacentral:rRNA from 1 species
AUCGCAAGACCUCUCACUAUUGGAGCGGCCGAUAUCGGAUUAGCUAGUUGGUGAGGUAAAGGCUCACCAAGGCGACGAUCCGUAGCUGGUUUGAGAGGACGACCAGCCACACUGGGACUGAGACACGGCCCAGACUCCUACGGGAGGCAGCAGUGGGGAAUUUUGGACAAUGGGGGCAACCCUGAUCCAGCCAUCCCGCGUGUGCGAUGAAGGCCUUCGGGUUGUAAAGCACUUUUGGCAGGGAAGAAAAGGCUCUGGAUAAUACCUGGAGCCGCUGACGGUACCUGCAGAAUAAGCACCGGCUAACUACGUGCCAGCAGCCGCGGUAAUACGUAGGGUGCAAGCGUUAAUCGGAAUUACUGGGCGUAAAGCGUGCGCAGGCGGUUCGGAAAGAAAGAUGUGAAAUCCCAAUGGCUUAACCUUGGAACUGCAUUUUUAAUUACCCGGGCUAGAGUACGUCCGAGAGGGGGUAGAAUUCCACGUGU